rnacentral:rRNA from 1 species
UACAGAGGUCUCAAGCGUUGUUCGGAAUCACUGGGCGUAAAGCGUACGUAGGCGGCAGGGUAAGUCAGAUGUGAAAUCUCCGGGCUCAACCUGGAAACUGCAUCCGAUACUGCCUUGCUAGAGUAGUGGAGGGGCGACUGGAAUUCACGGUGUAGCAGUGAAAUGCGUAGAUAUCGUGAGGAACACUAGUGGCGAAGGCGAGUCGCUGGACACUUACUGACGCUGAGGUACGAAGGCCAGGGUAGCGAAGCGGAUUAGAUACCCCUGUA